GACGAACGCUGGCGGCGUGCUUAACACAUGCAAGUCGAACGGUGAAGCGCCUUCCUUUUUGGUGGGUGUGGAUGAGUGGCGAACGGGUGAGUAACACGUGAGUAACCUGCCCCCUUCUUCUGGAUAACCGCAUGAAAGUGUGGCUAAUACGGGAUAUUCUGGGUCUGUCGCAUGAUGGGUCUGGGAAAGAUAUUGUUUCGGUGGGGGAUGGGCUCGCGGCCUAUCAGCUUGUUGGUGGGGUGAUGGCCUACCAAGGCGGUGACGGGUAGCCGGCCUGAGAGGGUGGACGGUCACAAUGGGACUGAGACACGGACCAGACUCCUACGGGAGGCAGCAGUGGGGAAUAGUGCACAAUGGGCGCAAGCCUGAUGCAGCGACGCCGCGUGAGGGAUGGAGGCCUUCGGGUUGUGAACCUCUUUCGCCAGUGAAGCAGGCCUGCCUCGUUUGUGGGUGGGUUGACGGUAGCUGGAUAAGAAGCGCCGGCUAACUACGUG
rnacentral:rRNA from 1 species